rnacentral:rRNA from 1 species
UACAGAGGUCUCAAGCAUUGUUCGGAUUCAUUGGGCGUAAAGGGUGCGUAGGUGGCGCGAUAAGUCGGGUGUGAAAUCUCGGAGCUUAACUCCGAAAUUGCAUUCGAUACUGCCGUGCUCGAGGACUGGAGAGGAGACUGGAAUUCAUGGUGUAGCAGUGAAAUGCGUAGAGAUCAUGAGGAAGACCAGUGGCGAAGGCGGGUCUCUGGACAGUUCCUGACACUGAGACACGAAGGCCAGGGGAGCAAACGGG